rnacentral:rRNA from 1 species
GAGUUUGAUCAUGGCUCAGGAUGAACGCUAGCGGCAGGCUUAAUACAUGCAAGUCGUGGGGCAGCAUGGUGGUAGCAAUACCACUGAUGGCGACCGGCAAACGGGUGCGGAACACGUACGCAACCUACCCAUAAUUGGGGAAUAGCCCAGGGAAACUUGGAUUAAUACCCCGUAACAUAUUGAUAAGGCAUCUUAUUACUAUUAUAGCUACGGCGAUUAUGGAUGGGCGUGCGCCUGAUUAGGUAGUUGGCAGGGUAACGGCCUACCAAGCCUGCGAUCAGUAACUGGUGUGAGAGCACGACCAGUCACACGGGCACUGAGACACGGGCCCGACUCCUACGGGAGGCAGCAGUAAGGAAUAUUGGUCAAUGGACGCAAGUCUGAACCAGCCAUGCCGCGUGGAGGAUGAAGGUCCUCUGGAUUGUAAACUUCUUUUAUCUGGGAAGAAAUCCAUUUUUUCUAAAGUGGUUGACGGUACCAGAUGAAUAAGCACCGGCUAACUCCGUGCCAGCAGCCGCGGUAAUACGGAGGGUGCAAGCGUUAUCCGGAUUUACUGGGUUUAAAGGGUGCGUAGGCGGAUAGGUAAGUCAGUGGUUGAAAUCCCCCGAGCUCAACGUGAGAACUGCCGUUGAUA